GAUGAACGCUGGCGGCGUGCCUAAUACAUGCAAGUCGAGCGAACAGACGAGGAGCUUGCUCCUCUGACGUUAGCGGCGGACGGGUGAGUAACACGUGGAUAACCUACCUAUAAGACUGGGAUAACUUCGGGAAACCGGAGCUAAUACCGGAUAACAUGUUGAACCGCAUGGUUCAACAGUGAAAGACGGUCUUGCUGUCACUUAUAGAUGGAUCCGCGCCGCAUUAGCUAGUUGGUAAGGUAACGGCUUACCAAGGCAACGAUGCGUAGCCGACCUGAGAGGGUGAUCGGCCACCCUGGAACUGAGACACGGUCCAGACUCCUACGGGAGGCAGCAGUAGGGAAUCUUCCGCAAUGGGCGAAAGCCUGACGGAGCAACGCCGCGUGAGUGAAGAAGGUCUUCGGAUCGUAAAACUCUGUUAUUAGGGAAGAACAAAUGUGUAAGUAACUAUGCACGUCUUGACGGUAACUAAUCAGAAAGCCACGGCUAACUACGUG
rnacentral:rRNA from 1 species